GGCCCGGGUCACGUGACUGCGGAGGGCUUGCUCCUGUGUCCUUCCUCAGGUCUGAUUCUCCCACCCGAACCCGAGCCCUGCACACCCUGCAGAGCUCUGCAGCUCCACUGGGCUGCACUGGGCAUAGGUGAAGGGCAUACUAGAUGGAGGAGCAAGGUGUCUGCACCAAGGAUCGAGCUCUGGACCAGAGCCCUAACGUGGGAAGUGUAGACCCUCCCGGGUCGCUAACUUUAGUGUGUGGGGUUACAGGGUCAAAUCAAGAUAGUCCGCGCUCAAUCUGGGCUGGGGAUUCUGUUGUGGCAGCAACCACCAGCUCCCCUCAAAAAACGUAACUCGCUUCAAGAGCGAUGAGAAGGGGCUGUUCAUUUUGCUUUCAGGAUCCUUCACUGACCUUCGUAAAUACAUGGAAAGAUGAGAAGGUUCUGGGACAGAAAAGGGUGGAAGGAUGGACUUGUCAGAAGGAGGGGCAGAAGCAGAAGCACAAUGGGGGUAGGCGAAUAUGGGUGAAUGGGGUGUCCCGAGCCUUGUGCGGUAAGGGGUGGGGAGGCAGAGCUGAAGGGAUGAACUGGGAAGCCCUGGGAAGGCUUAAGUACUACGCGGGGUUUGGUUUAUGUACAUUUUACCAAUUACCCAGACAGUGUGGAAGGAUGAAGAUUUUCAGCUGGGACGCAUUCACCUUGCUCUGGGAGGUAGUUCAAAUGCCUAGAGCAACCCUUGCCCAUCCCCCUGCGGGCCUGUGGGUAGUGGGGAGGGUGUGUUUGUUACCUAGCCCCUCUUUGUUUUUCUAGGCUCCUCUCCCUCUCCAAGUGCUUCUUUCCUAGAGCCUCCGGGGAGGAGGCGGCUUUCCCUUUCCACAUCCAAGGCAAGCUGCAUACAACGCAGAGGUGUCCAGUUCUCUGUUAGACUGGGAGUUAGGGGAUUACCAGCAUCCUCUCCUCCUCACUUGCUCACGUCUUCGGUGGAUUCUGGCUGCUUCAUUUCCCAAACAGAUGGCAAAGUGGCCCUCCUUCUGUCUCCACUGUCCUCCUUUCACUGUCCAGACACAGUCCUCAGUGACCCGCCCCCCCCCCCCCCCCCGGUGGGCUUAACUCUCCUGGCAAAGUCCAGUCUCUUGAUCAGGAACUUUGAGGAUCCAGGUCCCACAGAGGUCUUCACUGUCUCCUACCCCACAUGAUCACCUAUCUCCAUAGCCCUGCCAGGCUCUUAGCGGCCACUCUGGCUGCUUCCAAGGCUGUAGCCUGCUUCUCCCAUGCUGACUUCUCUUCCUGGGCUCAACAGCAAAGGUUCCCUCAGCAGAGAAAACCCUAGGCUUUGAGCCAUGGUGUGUCCCAGUUUCCUCUGUGUUUAAUAUUUGUGCUUCCUGCUGUUGUGGCUGCUGCAUGUGGGCAGGAACUGCUUCUGUUUUGUUUAUUGCUCUGUGUACUUCCCACCCAGCCUAGGAUCAAUAAAUAGGUGUUGAGCCAGGUAUGGUGGCUCAUGCCUAUAAUCCUACCA
rnacentral:lncRNA from 1 species